rnacentral:rRNA from 1 species
AAUGGGCGCAAGCCUGAUCCAGCCAUGCCGCGUGCGGGAAGAAGGCCUUCGGGUUGUAAACCGCUUUUGUCAGGGAAGAAAUCUUCUGGGUUAAUACCUCGGGAGGAUGACGGUACCUGAAGAAUAAGCACCGGCUAACUACGUGCCAGCAGCCGCGGUAAUACGUAGGGUGCAAGCGUUAAUCGGAAUUACUGGGCGUAAAGCGUGCGCAGGCGGUUGUGCAAGACAGGUGUGAAAUCCCCGGGCUUAACCUGGGAACUGCACUUGUGACUGCACGGCUGGAGUACGGCAGAGGGGGAUGGAAUUCCGCGUGUAGCAGUGAAAUGCGUAGAUAUGCGGAGGAACACCGAUGGCGAAGGCAAUCCCCUGGGCCUGUACUGACGCUCAUGCACGAAAGCGUGGGGAGCAAA